rnacentral:rRNA from 1 species
AUUGAACGCUGGCGGCAGGCCUAACACAUGCAAGUCGAGCGGAUGAAGGGAGCUUGCUCCUGGACUCAGCGGCGGACGGGUGAGUAAUGCCUAGGAAUCUGCCUGGCAGUGGGGGAUAACGUCCGGAAACGGGCGCUAAUACCGCAUACGUCCAGAGGGAGAAAGGGGGGGAUCUUCGGACCUCACGCUAUCAGAUGAGCCUAGGUCGGAUUAGCUAGUUGGUGGGGUAAAGGCCUACCAAGGCGACGAUCCGUAACUGGUCUGAGAGGAUGAUCAGUCACACUGGAACUGAGACACGGUCCAGACUCCUACGGGAGGCAGCAGUGGGGAAUAUUGGACAAUGGGCGAAAGCCUGAUCCAGCCAUGCCGCGUGUGUGAAGAAGGUCUUCGGAUUGUAAAGCACUUUAAGUUGGGAGGAAGGGCAGUAAGUUAAUACCUUGCUGUUUUGACGUUACCAACAGAAUAAGCACCGGCUAACUUCGUG